CGGCUGUGUUCCCUCACGUAUGUGAGGAAACUCAACAAUGUGAGUGGGUAAACGGCGGGACGAACUAUGGCUCUCGUAAGGUAGCCAAAUGCCUCGUCAUCUAAUUAGUGACGCGCAUGAAUG
rfam:Salmo salar isolate Sally breed double haploid chromosome ssa01, whole genome shotgun sequence.